rnacentral:rRNA from 1 species
AGUGAACGCUGGCGGUAGGCCUAACACAUGCAAGUCGAACGGCAGCACAGUAAGAGCUUGCUCUUACGGGUGGCGAGUGGCGGACGGGUGAGGAAUACAUCGGAAUCUACUUUUUCGUGGGGGAUAACGUAGGGAAACUUACGCUAAUACCGCAUACGACCUACGGGUGAAAGCAGGGGAUCUUCGGACCUUGCGCGAUUGAAUGAGCCGAUGUCGGAUUAGCUAGUUGGCGGGGUAAAGGCCCACCAAGGCGACGAUCCGUAGCUGGUCUGAGAGGAUGAUAAGCAAAACUGGAACGGAGACACGGUCCAGACUCAUACGGGAGGCAGCAGUGGGGAAUAUUGGAAAAUGGGCGCAAGCCUGAUCCAGCCAUACCGCGUGGGAGAAGAAGGCCUUCGGGUUGUAAAGCCCUUUUGUUGGAAAAGAAAAGCAGAAGGUUAAUACCCCGCUGUUCUGACGGUACCCAAAGAAUAAGCACCGGCUAACUUCGUG